rnacentral:rRNA from 1 species
CCUACGGGUGGCAGCAGUGAGGAAUAUUGGUCAAUGGGCGCGAGCCUGAACCAGCCAAGUAGCGUGAAGGAUGACUGCCCUACGGGUUGUAAACUUCUUUUAUAAAGGAAUAAAGUGAGGCACGUGUGCCUUUUUGUAUGUACUUUAUGAAUAAGGAUCGGCUAACUCCGUGCCAGCAGCCUCGGUCAUACGGAGGAGCCGAGAGUUAUCCGGAUUUCAUGGGUUUAAAGGGGGCGUAGAUGGGUUGUUAAGUCAGUUGUGAAAGUUUGCGGCUCAAACGUAAAAUUGAAAUUGAUACUGGCAGUCUUGAGGACAGUUGAGGUAGGCGGAAUGCGUGGGGUAGCGGUGAAAUGCUUAGAUAGCACGAAGAACUCCGAUUGCGAAGGCAGCUUACUAAACUGCCACUGACAUUGAUGCUCGAAAGUGUGGGUAUCAAACAGGAUUAGAUACCCCAGUAGUC